UACGGAGGGUGCGAGCGUUGUUCGGAAUUAUUGGGCGUAAAGCGCGCGUAGGCGGGUCGACGAGUCCGGUGUGAAAUCCCUCGGCUCAGCCGGGGAAUUGCACUGGAUACUGGCGACCUUGAGUCCUGGAGAGGGUGGCGGAAUUCCCAGUGUAGAGGUGAAAUUCGUAGAUAUUGGGAGGAACACCGGUGGCGAAGGCGGCCACCUGGACAGUGACUGACGCUGAGGCGCGAAAGCAUGGGUAGCAAACAGG
rnacentral:rRNA from 1 species